AUAAGGAGAGAGGAGUAAAAACCAAAAACCCAUAUUAAUAGCUUAUGUAAAGCAAGGGGUUUAGACAAGAUGACAGAGGUCUUUCCAGCUCUGACAUUCUAUUUCAUCAUGUCUAGUGUGCUUUUAAAAAUCAUUAAUAAAGUGGAGUUUAAUACACAUAUAAUGCACUGUACACUAAUCAAAUAGCCAACGCAGGAAUCUGGUUUGAUAUUAAUGAUUUAGACUGGAAACUGUUCAACAAAUGGGCUUAAAAUAAUUAAAUGAAAUUACAUCACCAAGGUUUUCCAAUAAUCUAUGGUGAUCUGACCCAACUUGAAAGACUCCAGGACUGCUCUGUCCUCUUUCUCUGAUACUUAUGUGCCCUAGGAUAAAGUGUUGCCUACUAGCGAGUCUUUGCCCUUCCUGGUCACUGUAUGCCUUGUACAGUUACGUGUUCUGCAGGCUCUGUGUUGAUACAUGUCCACCUUGUAAGAAAAUCCAACUUCCGGGGCCCAGGCCAAAGAUGUGUUAAUCUAAAUCAUAGUAACAGUCAUGAGACAUCACUCUUUCUCUAUUUCCAAAUUUCCCCCAUUUGUUCUUUCAAAGGUUGGCUG
rnacentral:lncRNA from 10 species